CUCCUCUUUUGGUAUCUUCUAGUGAGCUCAACCCAAGGAUUUUGAGGUCAGCUGAACACUGUCUGGCAUCAAGAAAGGCACGGUCACAUCAUGAAAUGUUCAGGGGUGCCUUUCAUAAUGAUUCUUCAUAUGAUUUCUUCCCUGAUCAUCACAAGUAGUGAAGCCAAAGUCACUCAAGAAUCUGUAAGAUUAGAGAAAUACCCAGUGGAGCUGACUGAAGAAGGGUUGACAGAGAUGGAAAAAUUAAGGAGUCUAUUGCAGCUGUGCUUAACUGGAGCCAGUGUUCAGAAAGGCAGAAGAUGCACUGUAACAAUCCAUCUUGCUGACUGCAGAGCACUGUCACUGAAUUCACAAGCCUUUAAUUUAAGCCUUUUAACAGACAAUAGUCUGUUUUCCCAAAUAGU